rnacentral:tRNA from 1 species
GGUUCGAUGGCGUAGUUGGUUAUCGCAUCUGUCUAACACACGGAAGGUCCUCAGUUCGAGCCUGGGUCGAAUCA